GAGUAUGGCCAUACCACUCUGAACGCACCGGAUCUCGUCUGAUCUCAGAAGCUAAGCAGGGUCAGCCUGGUUAGUACUUGGAUGGGAUGAAUAGAUCUUGAAUUUCAUAAAUAGCACGCAGACAUCUAUU
ensembl:rRNA 5S_rRNA 5S ribosomal RNA